UUGAUUUUUCCUGUGAAAAAUUGUUUUAAGCCUUUUAUCUCUACUAAGGUGAAUUUUAGUACAUUGCAUUUUUCAAGGAUGCUAUCCAAUUAUUUAAUUUUUCAAAUAUAUUUGUAUAGAGUCAAACAAAAUAGUCUGUAAGAAUCUUUUAAAAUUUACUUUGUUUCAAGGUUAUUUCCCCCAUAACAUUUUUAAAUUCAUAUAUCUGUGCUUUCUCCUUUUUUUUCUGAGUUAGAUUAGGUGGUAGUUUAUCUAGUUUAUUAAUUUUUCCUCAAGAACAAGCAUUUUGAUUGAUUUAUCAAUUUUGUUAUAUUUUUGCUUGCUGUUUUAUUAAUUUCUACUUCUAUAUUUUAAAAAAUUUUUCUUCUGCUUCCCCCAUCCCCUACCUACUUUUCUGAGUUGGGAAUUUAAUUCAUUUAUUUUUAUUUAUCUAAGUAUCAUAAGUAUGUAGAGCUAUGUAUUUUCCUAUAGUCACUGUUUUAAUUGUAUCUCAUAAAUGUCUUAGGAAGAGUUCAUGAAUAUUUUCUGAGUUUCCAUCUGUAUCAAACUGUUUCCCUAUAGGCUUGGUACUUUAAAAACAGUCUGCCUACAUAUAACACUCUGGGCUCAUAUUUUCCUUUUUUGAGUUUCUUAAAACUGUUCUUGCACAGUUUUCUUGCUUUGUAUGCUGUUUUAUGAUCUUAUUUCCUUUGUAAGUGAUUUGGCCUUUUUUGCUUGGAUGCCCAGAAGAUUGCUUGUAUAUAUUUAAUGUCUAAUAGGCCUAUUAUACUGUGUCUUAGAUGUAUGUCUAUAUAUUACAAUUGACCAUUCUGGGUUAGUCUUCUUAGGUACACAAAUAUAUCCAAGUUUUCUUUUAUUUAUACAAAGUUUUAUUGGAUUGUGGUUUAAUAUGUGAUUAAAUAUGUGAUUUCUCUCAUUUCAUUGUUUUUGUUUUUCUUGCCAGAAACCCAAAUGAUAAUGCCCAGUCUUCUUUCUCUCUGAUGGUUUUCACCUUAUUUAUUUUGUUUUCAUUUUCUUGGAAUUUUUCAUAUAUUUUUAAACUUCUGCUUUGAGAGAAAUCAAUUUUCUCUUGAGUACUUUGAAAUUAUUCUUCCUACAUAAGAUGUUUUUGCCUUUUUCUUUAAUUUCCCUCCUGGGGACUAUCUUUUUUUCGUAUAUUACUUUAUUUAAUUCUGCUUUUCUGAUUUAACAUUUUUUCUUUUUGCAAAAUAUUUGUUUAAAAUAUUUAAUUCAAGAUGGGGUGUUAUGUUACAGAUUGUUUUCAGAGCCUCCAGUUAAAUUGGGGUUCCAGCACCUGUGUGGAUAGCUAAGGGGAAAUGAAGGGGAGCUGGAUAUGGUUGUUUACAAGGUGUCUUUCACGGGACACAUCUUUUACCUGGCAGACAGCCUAGUGUCUAGUUGUCUAACCUGUGACCAGGAAGAUUUCUCACACAGGAAACUUGUUUAUACUGGCAGAUGCCCUUUUGGCUCUUGUCUGACCUGUGUUCAGUUUAUGCCUGCCUGACCAUUGCUCUGGUUCUGGGAGCUCAACUUUGUGCUUCCCCGUCCCAUGUCAGGGAAAGAUAGGCCUGGCGUAGCCCCUGAUUCUUCAGAUGGAAGGUGGGAAUUCAAUACUCCAGCACAAAAGGAAACAAUUAAAAGAUUGUACUUACAAAUCUUGGGCAAGGAAGGUGGGAUGGCAGUCCUCUGUCCUAGGGUCAUGUGAGGCAGAAAUGAAGGAGUCAGGCAGAGAGACAGGGCAUGUGGCAAAUAGUUGUAUGUAUAAGGGAAUACAGUGUGGGUUAUUUUAAGUUCUUAGGCAAAUAUCUGACAGAUUCACUUAAAAGGAAACAGCGGAAGAGUGGGUAGUCCUAUUGAGAGACAGGACUAGCUGGAUUUCCUAAGUCGACUAAGAAUUCCUAAGCCCAGCUGGGGAAGGUUACCACACCCACCUUUAAACGCGGGGCUUGUAACUCAGCUCACACCGGACCCAUCAGGUAGUAAAUAGUGCUCACUAAAAUACCAAUUAGGGUAAAAGCAGGAGGUAAAGAAAUAGUCAAAUCAUCUACUGCCUGAGAGCACCGGGGAGAGACAAUGAUCGGAAAAUAAAUCCAGGCCUUUGUGCCAGCAGGGGCAACCCCCUCUGGGUCCCCUCCCAUUGUAUGUGAGCUCUGUUUUCAUUCUAUUAAAUCUUGCAACUGCACAUUCUUCUGGUCCGUGUUUCUGCCGGCUCAAACUGAGCUUUCGCUCUCCAUCCACCAUGGCUGAACGCCACAGUCGCAGACCUGCCGUUGACUUUCAUCCCUCUGGAUUUGGCAGGGUGUCCACUGAGCUUCUGAUUCAGCGAGGUGCUCAUUGCUGCUCCCAAUCAGGCUAGAGGCUCGCCAUUGUUCCUGCACCGGGAAGUGCCCGGGUUCAUCCUAAUUAGGCUGAACACUAGUCUCUGGGUUCCAUGGUUCUCUUCCGUGACCCACAGCUUCUAAUAGAGCUAUAACACUUACCGCAUGGCCCAAGGUUCCAUUCCUUGGAAUCCCUGAGGCCAAGAACCCCACGUCAGAGAACAAAAGGCUUGCUGCCAUCUUGGGAGCAGCCGGCCCCAUCUUGGGAGUGGCCCACCACCAUCUUGGGAGCUCUAAGAACAAAGACCUGCUGGUAACACUAUCUCUGGCCACCUAUCUCUGGCCUAUCUAUCUCUGGUUCCUAUCUCUGGCCAUGGCUUGAGCCAUUUGGGUGCAGUGAACAGGAAACUGUAAAGAGUGACAGCCCUGCUUCUACAAAAUGGAUGCCAAGUUGUUCCUGCGCGCUCACUCUCUCUCCUGCCACCUUGUGAUGAAGAUGCCUGCUUCCUCUUCUGUCAUGAUUGUAAGUUUCCUGAGGCCUCCCCAGCCAUGUGCAAAUGUUACACCUCCUCCCUCCUUAAAUAGCACUUAGUGUAAUUGAUGCCAAGUUAAUCCCUGUGCUGCCAAGAGAAGUGUCCAUGGGGUAGGAACCGCAUGCUGUUUUACCUGUGCUUAAAGAGGAAAGUGUCACGCGUCUCUGAAGAAACAAUGUUGACUGAAAAAUAGCGCCAAGUCUCAAACAAGAUCUUUGUGAAAAAUAAAGCAUGAAGCACAAAAUGAGAGAGUUGAGAAAGUGCAAUCAUGAAGCUUUGCACCCCAGGCUUACAUUCUUUUGAAUCUAG
rnacentral:lncRNA from 10 species